AUGGAUGAACUUUUGUUCAUCUUCAGAACACAAAUUAAGAUAUUUUUGAUCACAUCCGAUGGCUGAAUGAGGCCUCCAUUGACAGCAAUAAUAUUUUUGGUGCGCCAAAAAAACAAAAUAACGACUUAUAUAGUGAUGGACGAUUUCAAAACACUGCUUCAGAAAGCAUCAGAGCGUUUAUGAAUCAGUGUGUCGAAUCAUAAUUUGGAUCACGUUUCAAACUGCUGAAAUCACAUGACUUUGUGCUCCGAACUGCUGAUUCGACACGCUGAUUCGUUGCUGGCAAUGGAGGCCUCAUUGAGCCAUCGGAUGUAAUCGAAAAUGUCCUCAUUUGUAUUCUGAAUAUGAACGAAGGUCUUACGGGUGAGUAAUAAAUGACAUUAUUUUUGGGUGAACUAACCCUUUAACACUGUUUAUCAGACUUGUCAGAGACUCCAGGAUGAGACUGCAAGGCUAGCUGAACUAAAAACAGAGCUACAUUGCACAGAUGAAUUGGUGUCACAGUGACUCUCUGAUGUGAAGGAAUGGGCAGCUGAUGAGACACUAGAUACAUCUCAUGCCAGCAGCACACACAGAGGACUUCAGCAGUCAAUUGAGGGGCUUUAUCUUAGUGUGAGGCAGCGGAAGCAAACCAUUUACUGCCAGAAUGACAGCAGCAAGCUUCGCCACCGCCCUCACAGGAAGCUGGCAGAAGACAAAAAGCUCCUUCUUCAGGAGACACAGAAAAAAAAUGGUCUUGCAUUAGACUCUGCCACAAACAUUGAUGUCUCUGCUGUGGAGCAUUCCCUUACUGGAGAGAGCAGUGUGUCACAAAUAUGGCCGUGGGAGGUUCAUGGCAGUGCAAACAUUUCAACCAAGUAACAAUUGCAUGACCAAGUGAUGUUGACAAUGCGACUGCACGAGGAGAAAAGCAUUUUGGUGUUGGAGAUGGCACAACACUGCACAUGGUUGCAGAGCCUGACAGUGGUUCUCAAGAACAAGAUGGCUGAGGAGGAUGAAGACAAGGAAAAUGAGGGACUUUGCUGUCUCUUAAGAAGAAGACUGUCAGAGGUGUCAGAACGGGUGCAAGUGGUCCUCCAACAGUACAAGACUGCUUUACUGUAG
ensembl:lncRNA